UCGCUCCUACCGAUUUUGAGUGAUUAGGUGAACCUUCUGGAUCAGAGCAUUCUUCAAGUUUGUUCUGAGAAGUUAAGUAAAUCAUUAUCACUUAGAGGAAGGAG
rnacentral:rRNA from 1 species